rnacentral:rRNA from 1 species
AAAGGCGCUUUCGGGUGUCGCUGAUGGAUGGACCCGCGGUGCAUUAGCUAGUUGGUGAGGUAACGGCUCACCAAGGCCACGAUGCAUAGCCGACCUGAGAGGGUGAUCGGCCACAUUGGGACUGAGACACGGCCCAAACUCCUACGGGAGGCAGCAGUAGGGAAUCUUCGGCAAUGGACGAAAGUCUGACCGAGCAACGCCGCGUGAGUGAAGAAGGUUUUCGGAUCGUAAAACUCUGUUGUUAGAGAAGAACAAGGAUGAGAGUAACUGUUCAUCCCUUGACGGUAUCUAACCAGAAAGCCACGGCUAACUACGUGCCAGCAGCCGCGGUAAUACGUAGGUGGCAAGCGUUGUCCGGAUUUAUUGGGCGUAAAGCGAGCGCAGGCGGUUUCUUAAGUCUGAUG